AUUAUGCGGCUCUAAAUGUAGAGGUUGGAAACGACAAUAAUUUGGAGCUUCAUAGCCCGACAAGCUCAAGAUAUCAAAUAUAAGGAAAGACUGUUACUUCCCUAUAGUUAGUGCUGACCAUUUUCUUUCACAGCUCGUAUUUCACAGCCUUCGACAAAAACUUCCUCAAGCCAAAGCCACGUUGACGAUGAGGACUUUGGUCUUUUUGAUGCUGUGGAUCAGAAUGACUCUUCCGACAAUCACGCGGUAGAAAUCCAGAGAUCUCUCAUACGACGAACAGAGAACGAGGAUUGUCAUUCAGAGAACGGUAGAAGCACAAAAGCCAUAAAAGACACUGGACGAUUUAGAAGCUUUUAAAGAACGUGUAAUACGUGAAAGUUUGAUGGA